UUCACUUCCAGAAUCACAGGCUGCCUGACAGGAUUAGCACGUUCCAGGUUCCAACUAAAGCCGUCUUUUGAUUGCAAUUGUGGUGAUUGAGUCUAGGAGGAAAACACAAAUGAAUUCUCAGCCCUGGGAUUGAGUGACAUUUAAUAAAAAAUACUAUUUGUUUAACCUGAUUGUUAUGUUUUUUGAAUUAUAAAAUGCUGAGCAUUAUGAUGGCUGCCAGGUUAUGUUAUCUACUACUUGAUUUUAAGUGCUAUCUGUGGGAUUUACAUGUAAACUGUAAAUUGAUGUUUUCUUUUUCUUACCUAUACAACAGAAAAUAAAGGGUUUCAGAAUUUUUAUAUCACUGGAUAUUCUGGCAAUGAAAUAUUAAAUGGCUUUAGGAGAAAUGUGUUUUUUACAGGGGAAAACAGGACACAUUAUAAACCUCUCCAUCACUCUAAUCAGGCUUCUGACAAGAAAAUAAUAGGGCUGCGCAGGAACACGUCUGUUCCCAUCCCAAGCACGGGGCUCUAGGUAAAGACAUAGCACAGACGGUUAGUUAGCGGAAAGUGGAGAGGUGCCUUUUGGAGAGAUGUUUGUUUGAAUAUUUGUAUUUGCUUUGCAAGGCUAAGCAGCACCCUUUGGUUAAUUUUGAGGGUGUUUUGGCAUCUGUCACCUGAAGUGUGUGACUCACCCAGAUUCUGACUCAAUAGAUGGAAAAAGACUAACCUGCUCACAAGAUAUUCAUUUCAUGGGUGAGGAGUUCUGUGAAUUACCAUUUUACUCUACUCUCUAAUGCUCUGAACAUAUUUCACAAAGAGAUCCAUUUUGGCUUUCAUUUUCAUUUUCUCUUAGUUUUCUCUUAUUUUCCAGGACAUCUGACUCUACCUCCUUAAAAGUGAAGUGACUGUGAAAAUUGAUUGUACCUUCUUAUGUGACACUAAUUUUGACCAUCCCUUAUGGUUGAGAAUCUCAUGCAAUGCUUUGGAUGUUCCAUCAACAACAUGCCAAGUCCAUGAGGUUUCAUAGGCCGUGCUCUUGGGGAGUCAUCACAGCUCUGGGUUGUCCUACCAUCAACACCACCUGGCACCCACCUUGCCACCAGGGUUCAAACUCAGUUCAUUGAGAAAACUGUCUCAACCCCAAGAGUCAAAGUUUAGGUCAAUACUGAAACAAUCACUCAUGUUCUUGUUGGUGAAAUCUGUAGAAAUGGUAACUCAGGAGUGAAAUCAACCACAGCAACUCUCCAUUCAUGGUGAGGUGUGGGGUAUACAGUAGAGAAAAUCAAGGUGUUUGAGAUGAGUCAGGCUUUGGGGUGACUGAUGCUCACUCAGCUAAGCAUCCGGACUGUCUGGGUUGCCCUUCAUGUCCACUCCCCCUCGUACUGUGUGUUUUAGCUAUCUCUGGACUUUUGCAUGCUGACUUUCCUCCAGCAGAUUGUCAACCUUUACUACUUGCUACACUCAGGGUCUAUUCUCCUAACUUCCUCCACUUUUCCUUCUGUUUCUAUACUGAUGUAGCUUAAGAAACAAAAUAAUCAGCUGGACUUGAGAGGCUGAUGUUCUCAUAAAAUAAGGCGGGAAGCUUGAAGCCAGGUCUUUGUGGUGUAACAGAGGCUGGCUACCUCCCAGAUGAAUGAGCUUCAGGGGGAAAUUAAAGUACUGCUGUCAGCAGCUUUUAUUUACUAAUUCCUGUUGUGAACUAUGUACAAAUGUGGACCUAAAAUACGAGAUAAGGGGCUCCUCACUAAUAGAGUAAAUAGGGAAAACGAAAGGGAAAGUCACAGCCAGCUAGUAGAGAAAUAAGCUGUAGCAUCUUGCUUAACGCAUGUAUAUAGGUUUUCAAACAGGUUUAAUCGAUUUCAAUUUUGAAACUUGAAAAGUAUUAUGGCAGUAUCUCAUGUAAUAUUAUUUUACAGUUGAUUGGACUGACAAGAUGUAUAAUUUUUCUAUUUUUUUAUAGUAUUUAUUAUAAUGUAAUUGUUAUUGUAUUUUAAAUUAGUAUUUAAUAUAAUGAUAACAUUUGUUUAUAAAGUCUAUAACUUUUAAGAAUGAGACACAAUCAAUCUCUUAAUGGCACCAAAUAAUCAUUUCCACAUAGUCAAUGUUAUUUGAACAAAUGAAUAAACAAACUCUGGAAAAUCAUCACAAAAGCAGUCUCCACCAUCUCAUCAGCACUGGGAAGCUCUGCGAAGCUGCCUGGGGCGCUAGCAGGCAGACACAAUGCCGUCGUAAAAGCCUCCCUGUUUUUGCAAGGGAUAGGUUUUACAACCAAUAAUUAAACGAUUAGGACAUUCCAUCUCUUGUCACCAUGAGGUGGGACCCUGCUGUUCUAGAUUUUCCAUAACACUGAGUCAUCGACAAAAUUCAAGAUUCAGAAUCUUCUCUACGAAUCUUGACGUAUUAAAGCAUUUACUUGUAAACUAAUGGCAAAUGCUUAUAUUAAAUUUAAAUAAAAUAUUAGAGCAGUUAAUCGCGUCUUUUUUUCCAUUCUACUCACCUGAGACAUGGGGCAGCUUGAGAAGUUUCUGGAAAUGAGGUUAGGUUAGGCACAGAUUCUCAGAAAUGAUCUAUGCAAAAGACUUUGGAAUUAUAGUGUCAUUUUUUUCAAUCCUAUCAAAUUUACUACUGAAUAUAUUAAAGUGUGGAAAGUUGAGAGAUAUCAAAUGUCACUGAAUAAAAAUGAGAUCAGAUUUAUAAUUUGGAAGAUUGUGUCAUCAUUUGGUGUCUGAAUUUUUUUGUUGUUGUAAUUUCUGCCCUCUCCCAUCUAGACUACUUAACAUUCUUUUGCCCAUUAUAAGUUAUCAUAGCCCAUAAAUUUGACAACUUCAUUAAAAUCCAAACGAGGACACUAAUAUUUGGCCCAUUUCUUCUGGCUGACAUUUUUUGUUCUAGAAAUUAUCUCUCUUUACCUGUGAAUACCCAGUUUACUCUCUACUAUUCCCUAAAGUUAGCUUUCACUCAAAUACACAUUUACAAUUAUAAAGUUACUUUAUUUCCAUUUAGAUUGCUCCUGGUCUCCACAGAGAUAGCAAAGAUUUCAAAUGCAACAGGCUAUUUAGCAGAAACAGCCAUUUUCUUUUAUAUAAAUUGUUAUCUUAGUUCAGUUAUUUUGUCUUUAAAAAUACAUUGCUUCAAAAAAAUGCAAACUGAACUAUGCUUAAUUCAAUUCUUUCCAUUGGCAUGUAAAUUUUAAUUUACAAUAUAGCACCAGGUCCUUUUAGUGGCUUUGUUUAAAUUGUUAGAGAGACUAAGACUAUUUUAAUAAACAAUUUCAGAAAUACAAAAAUCUAGGGAAUAAUACGCUCCAGUUUAUGACCGUACAAAAAUAUGUAUAUUCACCUAUCCUGCUAAUGGGCAUUCUGUUUAUUUCCAUUGUUUAUUAUAAUUUAAAAAUUACUACAUCUCUUUAUUGACCAUUACAAAUUCUUCUUCUGUCAAUUGCUUAUUCUUAUCCUUCAAUGUUUUUUUUUUUCCUUUUUUGGUCUUUUCUUUUUGAUUUAUUAGGCAAUUUUAAAUAGUUUGAUUACUACUUCUUUCUGUGUUAUAUGCACUGUCAAUCUGUUCUUCCCUUCAAUGGCUGGUUUGUUGUUUUUACCUCAGAACAUUCGGUCAAGUGUUUCAGAGGUUAAACUCUAUUUGUAUAUUUAUUGCCUUUAUGACUUGUACUUUUUCUUUAUGGCCUGAUUUCGAUAAUUCUUUUCUCCUUCACAGACCUAAAGAGCUUUUUCUAUAUUUUCUUCUACAAUGUUGAAGUUUUAUUUUUUACAUUUAAUUUCACAUUGAGUAAAAUUUAUUUUUUAUCUGUUGUGAACUAGAGAUCUGCCUUUUCCAUGUGGAUAUCCAACUUCCCAGGAAUAUUGAAAGAGAAGCAAAUCUUUUUUUUUUUCUUUUUCUCUUUUAGUAUACAAAAGGAUGUAACAAGAUCCCUAGGACAAAUCUGAUGUUAACUGAAUUAAGUGGAUUAGUAUUAAAUUAACUGGCCCGAUAAUUACAGGAAGGCAUUAUAAGUCCCUAGGGAGCCCAAGGAGGGUGAAGCCUCAUGCCCCUUUGGGUAGUAAUACAGGGACUAACUAUACUCCUUGCUCCCACAGGACAGAACAUUCUCUAGGUUUUUCAUUCCCGACUCAGUAGCACUCAAAGCUUUUCUUAAGGUAAAUUAAAGUUAUGGAGAAAGGCAUCACUCUGUAGCCACUGUUUUCCAAGAGUAACAUUCCAAGGCAGUAUCUAGGGAGCCAGCAAAGAUUCUGUCCUGUCUACCAUUUUCCCAUGAAUGACAUCAUAAUAGAACCUCCCGGUCUUAUUGCCUUUUCUUAUUGGUAACAAAAGAUGACAAACUAGGUAAUUUAUAUUAAAAAGUUUAUUUAGCUCAUAGUUCUAGAGGCUGGAAGUCCACAGUGCCGGCAUCUGUGAGGGCCUUCUUGCUGCCUCACCUCAUGGCAGAGGGCAUCACAUGCUCAGAGUGGGAGCAAGGGAGCCAGGGAGAGCUCACAGGCACAAGAAUAACGCUGCUGUGAUAAUAAACCCACUCCUGGGACAGCAACAUUCAUCCCGUCAUGAGAACAGAGCCCUCAUUCAUCCAUUCAUCUCAUCAUAGGGGCAGAAGGAUUACAUUUCUAACACAUGAACUUUUGGGGGACACAUUCAAUACCUAGCACUCCCAAAAUAUUCACUAAGAGUGAGAGUAAAUUGAUUUAAUUUCAGACUGUUCUUGGCAGUCCAUAAGUAGAGAUUUCCAAGUUUUACAAUAGAGAAUUAAAAUGAUUGAAAAAUAUUCUAAAAAAAAAAAAACAACCUGCAGAAGAAAGCUAGAAAAUCAGAAGAUGAAAUAUUUUUUAGGCAUAAAAUAUGCAUGCAGUUUAUAGACAAUGGAGAUGUGCUAACUCUUGAAAACGUGCUUCGACAUCUCAAAUUGCUUAAGGCUUUUGCAACAAAAUAACUUACCAGUGUCAGGCCAUGGUAGAAUAUGAGUUCACAAUGAAUUUUUAUGCCUGGGUUUCUGUGACCCAAGUUAUGCUGAAGAAUAUGAGAGACACCACCUUUUAAAAAUUUUUACAUAGCCUGCGGCCACUGCAAUUCGUUAAUCCCUUUGGAAAAUUGCUUAAGCCUGGCAUGUUUUGUAAUGAACUUUAUCUCUUCACUACCAAAAGUCGUAAAAAGGAACUUCAGUGAGGAAAGAAACACAAUUGAUAAUUGAAUAUUUCAAAGAGAUCAGCAUUUUAGAAAACUGGGUAUGUAUUAAUAUGCUAUAUCUGACUUUUUGGAUUGGCUCACAGUUUUCCUACUUUUCUGUCCUGUCAGUUGAGAAGAAUACAUUUCAAGAGAUGCUCUUGGAAAACACGUUUGAUGGAGAGGUUGAUUUUUGUAACCUGUAUGCCGUAGUCAGGUACUCUUGGUUCUUGGUAUAAAUUAGACAUAUAACGGAAAAUUCUAUUCUAUUACUAGAACUCUCUGGAGCCCCAAAGCAGGGUCCCUGACAGAAACUGCAUCUCCAGGGGACCUAACCACUGUUAGAACUUGGGGCCACGGGGUGAGGAAGGCAUGAAUGCCAACCCUGUGCUAAUAUCUCCCUCCUCCCACCUACCACAUGGGAGCCCAGGCAAUACAAUCUAUAGAAAUCAGCUUCCCUGACUGAAAAAUUAUGUAGGAAAAGGGAAGAAUUAAUGCAGGUAAAUGAAAGAAACCCAGCACACCCCUAAUGUCUACUAUAUAGCUGUUUAUAGGCAUCCCAAAAUCAAUCAAGAAGGUGUGCCUGACACUUUGUAGAUUUCUUGAAAGAUUUCCUUUCUCUGCACAUCUCUAUCUCCCUCUCUCCCUCUCUCUGAGUCUCAUCCUCCUCUUCAUUCUUUUCUCUUCUGCCCCUUCCCUCUCCAUGCUAUCUCUUGCUCUUCUCCCUUCCUUACCCUCUCUGUCUCUCCCCAUCUUUACUCAUUAUGGCUACUUUGCCUGACUACUCUUGAGUUAUUUCGACUUGGACUAGAAAAGAAAAAAUGAGAGCCAACAAAAUGGAACAAAGAAUUUGCCCUUUCUCCUGAACAUUAGCAUGUUUGGUGAUUUAUGUGUAGCUUUCCUAGGAUAAUAUGAGACUCAUGUUUACAGGGAACAUGGAAAUCUAGGAAACAGAGACAGAAGUCACCUUCCUUCCCCCCCACUCCCUCCAAUUGCAUCACUGUACUGGACCCAUGAAUAGACACCAAGGGGGCAGGCGCGGUGGCUUCCGCCAGUAACCUCAGCACUUUGGGAGACUGAGGCAGGCAGAUCACCUGAGGUCAGGAGUUAGAGACCACCCUGGCCAACAUGCAGAAAC
rnacentral:lncRNA from 10 species